AACGGGUGGAUUUAUUAGAACAGAACCAACCGUGGGUGGCUUCGGCCUUCCCUGUUGUACUCUGUGAUGACUCUGGAUAACUUUACUGAUCGCAGUCGGCCUUGUGUCGGCGACGGAUCUUUCAAAUGUCUGCCCUAUCAACUUUCGAUGGUAGGUGAUCUGCCUACCAUGGUGAUUACGGGUAACGGGGAAUCAGGGUUCGAUUCCGGAGAGGGAGCCUGAGAAACGGCUACCACAUCCAAGGAAGGCAGCAGGCGCGAAAAUUACCCACUCCCGGCACGGGGAGGUAGUGACGAAAAAUACGAAUACGGGACUCACUCGAGGCUCCGUAAUUCGAAUGAGUACAAUCUAAAUCCUUUAACGAGGACCAAUUGGAGGGCAAGUCUGGUGCCAGCAGCCGCGGUAACUCCAGCUCCAAAAGCGUAUAUUAAAGUUGCUGCAGUUAAAAAGCUCGUAGUUGGAUCUGGGUUGUGCGGUCACGUAAUGUGGCUUGGUCCUGAUUUCGGUCGGGUCCAUGUCAUGAUAAAGUGGUCGUGCAGCCUUUCAGCCGUGUCUGCGUAAGCAGGUGUUGGCUGGUCAGUAAGUUCGCUUGCUGGUCAGUUGGCAUGUUUCCUGAUGCCUUUAAACGGGUGUCGGGGGCGUACGGCACUUUUACUUUGAACAAAUUUGAGUGCUCAAAGCAGGCCCAUGUGCCUGAAAAGUCUUGCAUGGAAUAAUGGAAUAGGACUUCGGUUCUAUUUUGUUGGUUUCCGGAUCCGAAGUAAUGGUUAAGAGGAACAGACGGGGGCAUUUGUAUGGCGGCGUGAGAGGUGAAAUUCUAUGAUCGUCGCCAGACAAACUACAGCGAAAGCAUUUGCCAAGAAUGUUUUCAUUGAUCAGGAGCGAAAGUCAGAGGUUCGAAGACGAUCAGAUACCGUCCUAGUUCUGACCAUAAACGAUGCCAACUGACA
rnacentral:rRNA from 1 species